rnacentral:rRNA from 1 species
UACGAAGGGGGCUAGCGUUGCUCGGAAUCACUGGGCGUAAAGCGCACGUAGGCGGCUUUUUAAGUCAGGGGUGAAAUCCUGGAGCUCAACUCCAGAACUGCCUUUGAUACUGGGAGCUUGAGUCCGGAAGAGGUGAGUGGAACUCCGAGUGUAGAGGUGAAAUUCGUAGAUAUUCGGAAGAACACCAGUGGCGAAGGCGGCUCACUGGUCCGGUACUGACGCUGAGGUGCGAAAGCGUGGGUAGCAAACAGG